CAAUAGCGUAUAUUAAAGUUGUUGCAGUUAAAAAGCUCGUAGUUGGAUUUCUGGGAGGGUGCCAAUGUCCGUCGUCGUACGUGUUGCAGCGGCGCCCUUCCAUCCUUCUGUUAACGACUUUGGGCAUUCAUUUGCCGGAGUCGGGCUCAGAUAUUUUACCUUGAGAAAAUUAGAGUGUUUCAGGCAGGCUAGGCCGGAAUACAUUAGCAUGGAAUAAUGGAAUAGGACUACGGUCUCUUUGUUGGUUUGAGGACUAGAGUAAUGAUUAAUAGGGAUAGUUGGGGGCAUUCAUAUUUAAUUGUCAGAGGUGAAAUUCUUGGAUUUAUGAAAGAUGAACUUCUGCGAAAGCAUUUGCCAAGGAUGUUUUCAUUAAUCAAGAACGAAAGUUAGGGGAUCGAAGACGAUCAGAUACCGU
rnacentral:rRNA from 1 species